AUGAUGGCGCGCUGUUUCUACUUGGCCCUUCUCAUCCUCUCGUCUCCCGUAGCGGAGAUGGUUUAGGGUUUCGGUUUGGAGAUGGCGCUGACCAGCUUCAUCGUGACGGUGGUGGGCGUCGGCGCCACCAUCCUCCUACCCGGGGACGUCAAGCGGUCCGCGGCCAUUCUCCGCCACGCCUGACACUGGCUCGAAGAAGAGUCCGCCUCUGCCUCCAAGAUCUGCAAUUGGUGAUGUUGGCUUAUUUUAUGCCCAAAUAAUUCAGGUUCUUCUGUUGAUCACUGUUUAGGGAUUUUGUGCUGCGACUUCAGUUUGUGACAACUUCUAUAGUGACCUGAUUAUUACUUUAGUUACACAUGAGAUAAGAUUCUCUGAGAAAAAAAAAAAAAGGGUGCAAAUGAUGGAACGGAAUUUAAAUUGUUGGCACACAUCAUGUUUGAUGAGAUCAUUAUCCAGUUUUCCAGGUUGUCAACAAGUCUGUUGAAGCUAAAAGAAGUUAUAGUACCAUAACUCUGUGUUACCCGUA